UACGGGGGGGGCAAGCGUUGUUCGGAAUUACUGGGCGUAAAGGGCGCGUAGGCGGUUCGUUAAGUCCUGUGUGAAAUCCCCCGGCUCAACUGGGGAACUGCACAGGAAACUAGCGGGCUUGAGUUCGGGAGAGGGAAGCGGAAUUCCGGGUGUAGCGGUGAAAUGCGUAGAUAUCCGGAGGAAUACCGGUGGCGAAGGCGGCAUCCUGGACCGGCAUUGACGCUGAGGAGCGAAAGCUAGGGGAGCAAACGGG
rnacentral:rRNA from 1 species